AUUGAACGCUGGCAGCAUGCUUUACACAUGCAAGUCGAACGGUAACAGGUUAAGCUGACGAGUGGCGAACGGGUGAGUAAUGCAUCGGAACGUGCCCGGUCGUGGGGGAUAACGCAGCGAAAGCUGCGCUAAUACCGCAUACGAUCUGAGGAUGAAAGCGGGGGACCGUAAGGCCUCGCGCGAUCGGAGCGGCCGAUGUCAGAUUAGGUAGUUGGUGGGGUAAAGGCUCACCAAGCCAACGAUCUGUAGCUGGUCUGAGAGGACGACCAGCCACACUGGGACUGGGACACGGCCCAGACUCCUACGGGAGGCAGCAGUGGGGAAUUUUGGACAAUGGGCGAAAGCCUGAUCCAGCAAUGCCGCGUGCAGGAAGAAGGCCUUCGGGUUGUAAACUGCUUUUGUACGGAGCGAAAAGGUCCUUUCUAAUACAAGGGGCUCAUGACGGUACCGUAAGAAUAAGCACCGGCUAACUACGUGCCAGCAGCCGCCGCCG
rnacentral:rRNA from 1 species